rnacentral:rRNA from 1 species
CAGUAGCCGCGGUAAUACGAAGGGUGCAAGCGUUACUCGGAAUUACUGGGCGUAAAGCGUGCGUAGGUGGUGGUUUAAGUCCGUUGUGAAAGCCCUGGGCUCAACCUGGGAAUUGCAGUGGAUACUGGGUCACUAGAGUGUGGUAGAGGAUAGUGGAAUUUCCGGUGUAGCGGUGAAAUGCGUAGAGAUCGGAAGGAACAUCUGUGGCGAAGGCGACUAUCUGGGCCAACACUGACACUGAGGCACGAAAGCGUGGGGAGCAAACAGGAUUAGAUACCCGUUAGUCCCUGUCUCUUAUAAA